CCUGAGAGAUCUUCCUGUAAUCCAGAUGGUGGAAAGACCACCUCCCAGUUGGACAGAGGAUGCCUGAGACUGGAUUCAUUGCUUUCAAAGUUCCUUUGCAAAAGGUGGGAAUCUGAAGGCAAGGAGUGCCCUUUUUCUCUUUGGUAGCUGUGUAGGCCACAUGGCCAUCAAAGAGUCGAGUUGUUGUGGCCAUCAGAGGAAUAACAUGGACUUCUCAGAGUGAGGGUAUAAUGAAGCUGUGACACUUUGUGGUGAGGAGCUUUUUUUCUGGGAGAUUUUUUGGGGAUGUAGCUCCUUAUAAUCAUGCUACAAUUGGCCUCUGUAAGUUAUGAGAUGACAUUGACUCUGCC
rnacentral:lncRNA from 1 species